UUCGCAAUGCUCGAUGUCUGACGGAGCACGCCGCGUGAGUGAUGAAGGUUUUCGGAUCGUAAAACUCUGUUGUUAGGGAAGAACAAGUGCCGUUCGAAAGGGCGGCACCUUGACGGUACCUAACGAGAAAGCCACGGCUAACUACGUGCCAGCAGCCGCGGUAAUACGUAGGUGGCAAAGCCGUUUGUCCCGGAAAUUAUUGGGCGUAAAGCGGCGCGCCAGGGCGGGUCUCUUAAAGUUCUGAUGUGAAAGGCCCCCCGGCUCAAACCGGGGGAGGGUCAUUUGGAAACUGGGAGACUUGAGUACAGAAGAGGAGAGUGGAAUUCCACGUGUAGCGGUGAAAUGCGUAGAGAUGUGGAGGAACACCAGUGGCGAAGGCGACUCUCUGGUCUGUAACUGACGCUGAGGCGCGAAAGCGUGGGGAGCAAACAGGAUUAGAUACCCUGGUAGUCCACGCCGUAAACGAUGAGUGCUAGGUGUUAGGGGUUUCGAUGCCCUUAGUGCCGAAGUUAACACAUUAAGCACUCCGCCUGGGGAGUACGACCGCAAGGUUGAAACUCAAAGGAAUUGACGGGGGCCCGCACAAGCAGUGGAGCAUGUGGUUUAAUUCGAAGCAACGCGAAGAACCUUACCAGGUCUUGACAUCCCUUGACCACCCUAGAGAUAGGGCUUCCCCUUUCGGGGGACAAAAGUGACAGGUGGUGCAUGGUUGUCGUCAGCAAUCGUGUCGUGAGAUGUUGGGUUAAGUCCCGCAACGAGCGCAACCCUUGACCUUAGUUGCCAGCAUUCAGUUGGGCACUCUAAGGUGACUGCCGGUGACAAACCGGAGGAAGGUGGGGAUGACGUCAAAUCAUCAUGCCCCUUAUGACCUGGGCUACACACGUGCUACAAUGGAUGGUACAAAGGGUUGCGAAGCCGCGAGGUGAAGCCAAUCCCAGAAAGCCAUUCUCAGUUCGGAUUGCAGGCUGCAACUCGCCUGCAUGAAGCCGGAAUUGCUAGUAAUCGCGGAUCAGCAUGCCGCGGUGAAUACGUUCCCGGGCCUUGUACACACCGCCCGUCACACCACGAGAGUUUGUAACACCCGAAGUCGGUGGGGUAACCUUUUGGAGCCAGCCGCCUAAGGUGGGACAGAUGAUUGGGGUGAAGUCGUAACAAGAGG
rnacentral:rRNA from 1 species